AGAGCGAACGCUGGCGGCAGGCUUAACACAUGCAAGUCGAGCGGAAAGGCCCUUCGGGGUACUCGAGCGGCGAACGGGUGAGUAACACGUGAGCAACCUGCCCCUGGCUCUGGGAUAGCCUCCGGAAACGGGGAUUAAUACCGGACAUUCACUUUCUUCCGCAUGGUCGGGAGUGGAAAGUUUUUCGGCCAGGGAGGGGCUCGCGGCCUAUCAGCUUGUUGGCGGGGUAACGGCCCACCAAGGCGACGACGGGUAG
rnacentral:rRNA from 1 species